rnacentral:rRNA from 1 species
UGGCCUACGGGAGGCAGCAGUGGGGAAUAUUGGACAAUGGGGGCAACCCUGAUCCAGCCAUGCCGCGUGUGUGAAGAAGGCUUUCGGGUUGUAAAGCACUUUCAGUGGGGAAGAAGGCUUUCGGGUUAAUACCCCGGAAGAAGGACAUCACCCACAGAAGAAGCACCGGCUAACUCCGUGCCAGCAGCCGCGGUA